AACGAACGCUGGCGGCAUGCCUAACACAUGCAAGUCGAACGACACCUUCGGGACUGGUGGCGCACGGGUGCGUCACGUGUGGGAACCUGCCCUUAGGCUCGGAAUAACUCCCCGAAAGGGGUGCUAAUACCGGGUAAUGUCUUCGGGCCAAAGAUAUAUCGCCCUUGGAUGGGCCCGCGUUGGUUUAGCUAGUUGGUAGGGUAAAAGCCUACCACGGCGACGAUCCAUAGCUGGUCUGUGAGGAUGAGCAGCCACACUGGGACGGAGACACGGCCCAGACUCCUACGGGAGGCAGCAGUGGGGAAUAUUGGACAAUGGGCGGAGGCCUGAUCCAGCAAUGCCGCGUGAGUGAUGAAGGCCUUAGAGUUGUAAAGCUCUUUUACCCGGGAUGAUAAUGACAGUACCGGGAGAAUAAGCUCCGGCUAACUCCGUG
rnacentral:rRNA from 1 species